CCCUACGGGAGGCAGCAGUGGGGAAUAUUGCACAAUGGGGGGAACCCUGAUGCAGCGACGCCGCGUGGGUGAAGGAGUAUUUCGGUAUGUAAAGCCCUAUCAGCAGGGAAGAACAAUGACGGUACCUGACUAAGAAGCACCGGCUAAAUACGUGCCAGCAGCCGCGGUAAUACGUAUGGUGCAAGCGUUAUCCGGAUUUACUGGGCGUAAAGGGUGCGCAGGCGGUCCUGCAAGUCUGGAGUGAAACGCAUGAGCUCAACUCAUGCAUGGCUUUGGAAACUGGAGGACUGGAGAGCAGGAGAGGG
rnacentral:rRNA from 1 species